rnacentral:piRNA from 1 species
UGUCAUCCGAGCCAGUCUACUUGGCCAG